ACUAAAUUAUCUUUAAAUCACACACAUUUCGACACAUGUUCCGGGGUGCUUCAACUUCAUUAACUUAGGUUAGUAGGUUAGGGGUCGGAUGCAUGGGGAAUGUGGAGGCCUAAC
rnacentral:sRNA from 1 species